rnacentral:rRNA from 1 species
AUUGAACGCUGGCGGCAUGCCUUACACAUGCAAGUCGAACGGCAGCACGGGAGCUUGCUCCUGGUGGCGAGUGGCGAACGGGUGAGUAAUGCAUCGGAACGUACCCAGGAGUGGGGGAUAACUAUCCGAAAGGAUGGCUCAUACCGCAUAUUCUGUGAGCAGGAAAGCGGGGGAUCGCAAGACCUCGCGCUCUUGGAGCGGCCGAUGUCGGAUUAGCUAGGUGGUGAGGUAAAGGCUCACCAAGGCGACGCUCCGUAGCGGGUCUGAGAGGAUGAUCUGCCACACUGGGAGUGGGACACGGCCCAGACUCCUACGGGAGGCAGCAGUGGGGAAUUGUGGACAAUGGGGGCAAGCCUGAUCCAGCCAUGCCGCGUGAGUGAAGAAGGCCUUCGGGUUGUAAGGCUCUUUCGGCGGGGAAGAAAUAGCAACGGCUAAUAUCCGUUGUUGAUGACGGUACCCGCAUAAGAAGCACCGGCUAACUACGUGCCAGCCGCCGCGGUAA